UUGCCCACCUGGGUAGCCACAGCAUGGACCAUUCAGUAGGACUGGCAUGCCAGGCUGCUACGUGUGGCUCUUCUGUGUGAUGGAAGAAGAGGGCACAGCAAGGCUGGAGAAAAGCAUUUCCCUUCUCUGCAGCCUCCUAGGGAGCCAGAUUAAGCAGGGUCUCCCUAAAGUCCCCCCUGCAGUGCCAGACAGAACUGAGGAGGUGGAAAAAGAGAAAAUGCACUGAGGCUGUGGCUGGUUUUGCUUGAUGGAGGAGGAGGGAAGACAACUCAUGGGGUUUCAACUGUAACAGGCACAAUUUGCUGGAGUGACACAUUCUGGGAUUGUGCAGCACACCAGUGCUUGUCUGGAGAGGUUGGGUGCCCUACUAGCCCCUUGCAGCCUGCCACCAUUAUUGUGUUAGGCAGCAACACUUAUCUCCUCCCAUUAUCAGGAUCCCCCUUGUAAACAUGGGCUGGAAGGCGCUAGUACUUGGGGGUGGGGAGGGGUAGGCAGCUAUAUCCCAGCAGAACAAAUCCAAUUACGUAUAUUAGAGUGAAUUCGUACAGCCUUCUUGUUCAGGAUAAGUAUUUUCUACAGAUCCUGGAGCUUUGAAUCAACAAACUGCUGAUCAACAUGUGUAGGUGGGGCCCUGGAUGUUACCACAGUGGGAUGGAGCGCAAGAAGCAGGAGGAAAGAAGAAGGAAAGCAAGCAGGUACACAUGACACCAGGACCUUGGCUCUGCUCAUCACAGAAGACUCUAAAUCUACAAAUAUCAGGAUUUCUCUAUGCUUCUCAUUGGGAAUUUGGACCUCAGCCUGUGCACUUACUACCCGUGACCUCAGAGAUCCCAAAGGCGUAGGCACCUCUGGAGCUAAUUUCCCCAAAUCCGUUUCCUUUUUGCACUCUGAGUGUACACAUGGCUCAGUCGCACGCAAAAGCCCCACGUGUAACAAAACUUCGGUGAGAAACAUGAGAUGAGCCUUCUGCUUUGCAAACACAUUGGAGAGGAGGGAGGAGAAACCCUAAAACACCUCCCAGAACACGAAGCUCUUUUGUUCUAGUUUUACAGCGACCAAAUCUCAGCCAUCCGUUCUGCUGCUGGUGGAGCUGAACAAAGUGGUUACAAACAGCGUGGGGAAGGAAACCCACCGGCCCCCGAGCUACACCCAGCCCACAGGGUUUCAUCAAGGAAGUCAGCUCAAGCGUGGCAAACACAACCACGGGCUCUGCUUUCCUCCUGCUCUGCAGCUGGCCCACCUUGCACAGCCGGAGGGCCACCAGCUCUCACCUGCCAGGCACAGCUUGUGGGGACACCAAAAUCCAUCCGCUGUGGCAAGAGAAGGGCUGGGGAGGAAGGAGGAGAGCAGGCAACGUCUGAACUGCAAGCUUCACCAUAGAAAGUGUUUCAGUUCCCAGAUAACGUGGCGCUGUUCACAGAUUUCAGCUUAUAUAGGCUUUUCCAUAUAUCUAUUUUUAUUCCCGAAGCAUUCCCGGUUGCUGUAUGAUGAAAAGAAGGAUUGGACAGCACGGAUGCUCUCAGCUAUCUGAACACGUUUACAUGCUGGUUGUAAUCUUCCUAACUGUGCACCUUGCUGAUGCUACCUGUGCUCUGAGAGCCAAGCCAGGACACUCCUUGGCCGUGCUGCCAGCUGCAGUGGCCAUCUCCAUGGCAAGUUUUUGCAAGUCAGAGCCUUGCCGAAAAGGGAGGGCAUUUGACAACAGUGGGGAACCUGGGACAGAUGGGAAAAGACAUAUGAAUCGUGUGCCUGCCAAAAUAGCCAGCAUAAAAAUCCAAACAUAAUAAGUGAGAGGAAAGAAGAAAGAAUAAUAAUAAUUAAAAAAGCAUGGUCUUGCCUCUUUUUCUGUGGGAGCAAAACGCUUCUUCCCUGGUGCUGGCAUCUGGCACAUGCUGGCUUUGGAGGAAGGGAGCUGGGACAAGCUCUCCCUCCACCUCCUCCUUCCCAUACGCAUAUUUAUGAGCACAACAUUAGAGCGCCAGGGCCAGUGAGGAGGCAUUCCCACCCCUCCACAUUUCCAGGCAUCUCUAACCUCCUACCACACUGCUCACCCACCCCCCUGAAAUCUCUCCCACCUACACAAUCCUUCCAAGAUCAUCAGGGUGACCUGGCCCAGGUAUGAGCCUGCUCUAGCCCAGACCUGGCAGCACUCAUCCCCGUUGCACACCAGCAGCACUCAGAUGCAGGAUACCUGCACAGACCUCAAAGAUGGGGAAGGAGAGAGCCCAGACAUGUUCAGACACAAACUUUCCUUCACCAACUCUCAGAGGAACCAGGCACGGACAGAUUUGAGCAAGUACAGCACUUCCUAUGCACUGUGUAGACACUGAACUCAAGCUACACCCAGAAACAUGGAAAGAAAGUCACAGAGCUGCAUGCAUGUAAACCUGCCCUCUGCUUGCAUGCUAGCACUUUGUUAGCAGCUUAACCUCUUGUCCCACAGCUCCGUGUUCCACCUCCAUGCAGCAGCUUCUACCUUCCCAGCUUACUGCUUCCACCAUGCCGGGUCCUCACAGCCUUAUUCCCCAAGCCCAUAAAUAUCCUGCAACUCAAACCACCCAGAAAUCGAAUGAAGGCUGCUGUGGAAAGGAUGCUGUGAGUGACUCGAAUCACUCUACACCAAAUCCAGGUAAGGAGGACAUCGGGUUUUAGAGCUUAACCCUCUCAGCUCGCCCUUCCCUGCUCACCACAGCCAAGCAGGCAAUGGGGGCAGAAAUCUGGGCAAUGAAUGCUCCCACCAGAAAGUCCUUGGGCUGGAGUGAUGCUCUCUCCAUGCAAGCAGGAGAGACUCUUCCUGCACGGAACACAAUACUGCACGUAAAUCUUCUGGAGCUGCCAAAAGCAACCUGUUAUAAAUGGCCCUCUAAGUUAUGAGAUAUGGACUCUCCACUGCACGGUUCAUAAAUAAUACUCCAAGCCCUCUGUGUAUGGAAUCGUAAGUUCUGUGACAGCUCGCUUAUCUGAGGGAGGACACGGUUAAAAAUGGAGCUUCAGGAAAAUACUACUUUUUAAUUACAUAGCAAAUAAAAAAAAAAAAAAAGAUAAGAAGCUUGCUGCGAUCUCACAAAUCCAGAAAUAAAAACCCUUUCAUAUCUUUCCUAUGACAACAAAACUAAAUGUACUUAAUAAGAAAAGAAGAUCCGUAAAAGAAAACAUUUUUUUUUUCCAUGCACUAUAACCAGCUAUUCACAAAGCAGAGGCUGGGAUGGAAAGAGAGAGUGUGCCUGUGAAAGUGUAUUUAUAAUCUGGUGUUCAGCAGCAUCUGAAGGCCCUGCGAACAGGAUCCCGGUAUGCUGAGCACCGUGCAGACACAGCCCGAGGAAGCAGCCUGAGGAACAAGCACUGCCACUGCACCGAGGGGAAGUGGCAGUGGCACAGAAAAGGGCCACCUGAAGAACUGGAGCCCCAAUCGUUUCUUCUCCCCCCUGCCCUUUCAGGAAAGCAUUCCCACCCGACCUAUUUCCACCAGCCCCCCUCCCACAACAGAAGGGCACACGCUGCCCCCAGCAC